rnacentral:lncRNA from 1 species
AAGAGGGCAACUGUGGAGCUCCCUCAUAAGAGGACCCAAAUUUUCAAAAGCUAAGAAUGAGAACCUCAUUUUGCUAAUAUAAUCUGCCACACACCCUUUGGGAGGACCUCUUUUCCUUUUUUUAAUUUGAAUAACACAUACGGGGCAUACACUCAUGGAUAGGGAAUUCAAACUCUUCUCUCUUCAUUCUCUUUAUACGUAUGGCCUAUUUUUAUACUGAGAAUCAAUUAGUUGUUGGUUGUUGCUUGAUAAAGGUGUUCUAUAUUGUCUUCUUCGGUUUCCAAAGCUAGUUUUCACCUGGGAUUGAAGCUGGUAACCAUUUUCCAGUAAAGGUCAUUUCGAGUUCCGAAAUUCGUUUAAGGUCGGAGAUUUCCGGCGAGGUUUCCGAACAGAUCUGGGUUCGAUUGAGGUAUCGCUGACCAAAUUUUCUGGUGUUAAGCAUUUUCAGAACCAAAAUUGCUUUGUAUUGAGGUUUAUUCUUUCUCCCUUAUUCUUUGUUUACCUCAAUCCAGACCUUGUUCUAUGUUUUUAAUUAAUUUUUUCUUUUUUUUCUUCUUCUGAAUGAUGAUUAUUUCCUAUGCUUUCAGAUGUAUGUAUAUGUGAGUGCACUCGAAAAAAGUAGUAGUUUGGCAUCUGAUUUAAUUUAGUUAAGAGAUAAAAUAACAACUACCCAGUAUAGUUCCACAAAGUGGGUCUGAGGAAAAGUUAUCAAAUAUCUUGUGUAUAUUUUCUCUUAGAAUAAUAUUAUUUAUAUCUGAUGAAGGAACGUAAGGAUCUGGAUUAAGCUUUACCCAAUUAGGCGUGUGGAUAUUUUUGUUUUCUUCUUUAUUUUGUAAACAGUGAUCUUGAUUUGAUGUUUAUUUUGUGGACAGAUUAUUCCUAUAUAUAUAUGCUAUGAAAGUUAAAAUUUAGAAAUGUCAAUAAAAAUGAUAGUUGUGUUGGUUGGGACCUAUAUUAGUAAUGUGAGAUUGAUGAUAGUUUGGAAUUUUAGACUUAGUAAGCCGUAACAGUUGCAUGGAUUUGGGUUUAGAUAUAACAAAAACAAGCUGGCCUCUAUUCCACAUCUACUCUAAAAAAAAAAAUACUUCAACAAUUUCACAUUCGUAAAUUCUUUGCCCUAGCAAUAAUCUCAAAGUUUAGGAAGAAUAAGGAGCAUUCGCGGGAUUGCUUUAGGCACACAUUAAAUUUAUUCAUCGUGAUUGUGUACACAUUUGUAUGAUAUAAUUACGAUCUUAAAAAUAAAAUUGGAGUACGUUCGCGUAGUUUCGGUCGAACUUUCUUAAUAAAUGAACAAAAGCAUUAUUAAUUAUGGACACAUAUGUGUGACAUGAUUUUUGACGCGCCAAAAGAAAGAGUAUAUGUACGUGUAACUCAAUCCUUUAAUUACGAAUAAUCAAGAGAUUUAAAAGCGGUGAAAAAAUAAAUGUACAUAGGUCCUAAAAAUGAGUAGUUAAACAAUUUAAGCCAAGUAAUAAUCAUUAAGCGACUGUGCUCGAACCACGGAACCUGGGAAUGCGUCACACCUUCUCCCGAGUUAACAUAAUUUCUUAUCUAAAAUUUCUGAUUCACAGUACGUGAAUAGAGUCAACCUUUCUCGAUUUGGGAUUUAAAAUAAACUGGUCACAUGGGACACCAAUUAAAAUAUUCCAAGUGGCGACUCUAAUAAAAAAUGAAUGAAAGUCAAUUUCGAAUAAUGUCACUUAAAUUCAAAAAACUCGCUUAUACCCCUUUCCGAAGUGUAGUGAAAAAGGAGGUGUGACACAUAUGACAUCCAAGUACUCAAUCGUUCUAACACAAGGUUUACAACGAGAAUCACCCAAAGGUACCACACCUUAUAUACACAUUGUUGGAAACACGUUCUCAAGGCAUUAUACUAAAACGUGUGUUCAUAUGUGUAGGUUUUGA